rnacentral:misc_RNA from 1 species
UAGUUAGUCCCUUCUGUUUGAAAACUUAAUAAUUUAGUUCUUAAUGAUUAAGUUUUCAAACAGAAGGGACUAACUAGUUAAUUUUAACAAGCCUCCUGCACAUUUAGUUAAAUACCCUUACAAAAAUGGCAAUACACGAAGCACUUCCAUUCUUCCCGUUAGCAUUUCUGUAUGGUUCACUCAUGAAGAAAAGUCGAUUUUACUUAAAAUUGGAAAUGCAUGGCGAACUAAGAGAAAAAGCAAUGAGUCAAAAUCUGGGGCUUUCUACCGUGACUUCCAAUAAUUUAUGCUAUCUACCUUACUGAUCCACUUUGAAUGGAUGCAACCUUGCAUACACCAGCCGACGUGGUGAACGGAAUAUCUUUAUAGCAGGCUACUAGAUCUGUGUUCGUUUGGAGAUCCACUUGCAGUGUCUCCCAGACCUUCUUUUUAGGGUUUAGGACAUCAUCCGGCUCACCUUCAAACCCAGGAAAUGUAACUCUCUCUCCAACAGCAGCAGAUUCAGGUGGAUCAACCAACUCAACCUUUGUGUGGUCACUGUUGGAAGCAGCAAGAACCAUAGCCUGUGACUUGAUACCCCUCAUGGUUGCAGGCUUUAAGUUACAAAGGACACAGACCUUACGAUCCUGCAUCUCUUCUAGAGGUAUAUAAUUGACUAGUCCACUAACAACUUUUCUAGUCUCUCCUCCCCCGACAUCGAUUUCUUCCACAUAUAGCGAAUCAGCAUCGGGAUGCUUCUGAGCUUUCUUAAUUAGGCCAACACGAAUAUCAAGUCUAGUGAUGGAGAUUUCUGGCUCAACAGUGCU